CUUUGACAUGUGCAUUAUUCUGGGCUGAAGGGCAUUCUUUAAUGAAGAAACGUUAGAGCUGCUUAACACGCUGCAACACGGAGAUUUUAGUGGAGAACAUGGCUUCCUCUUGGAAACUAAUCCUGUUUCUGUCAGUCGCUGGGUGUCUUUCAGGAAAAAACAGGUUUAAG